rnacentral:rRNA from 1 species
UGGUGGAGUGAUUUGUCUGCUUAAUUGCGAUAACGAACGAGACCUUAACCUGCUAAAUAGCCCGGCUAGCUUUGGCUGGUCGCGGGCUUCUUAGGGGGACUAUCGGCUCAAGCCGAUGGAAGUUUGAGGCAAUAACA